rnacentral:rRNA from 1 species
UACGGAAGGGGCAAGCGUUGUUCGGAAUCAUUGGGCGUAAAGGGCGCGUAGGUGGUUCUGUAUGUCUACCGUGAAAGCGUACGGCUCAACCGUAUUUUGUCGGUAGAAACUGCAGGACUUGAGGCUGGGAGGGGCUGGUGGAAUUCCCUGUGUAGCGGUGAAAUGCGUAGAGAUGGGGGAGAACACUCGUGGCGAAGGCGGCCAGCUAGACCAGUUCUGACACUGAGGCGCGAAAGCCAGGGGAGCAAACGGG